rnacentral:rRNA from 1 species
AGUGAACGCUGGCGGUAGGCCUAACACAUGCAAGUCGAACGGCAGCACAGUAAGAGCUUGCUCUUACGGGUGGCGAGUGGCGGACGGGUGAGGAAUACAUCGGAAUCUACUUUUUCGUGGGGGAUAACGUAGGGAAACUUACGCUAAUACCGCAUACGACCUACGGGUGAAAGUAGUGGAUCUUCGGACCUUGCGCGAUUCAAUGAGCCGAUGUCGGAUUAGCUAGUUGGCGGGGUAAAGGCCCACCAAGGCGACGAUCCGUAGCUGGUCUGAGAGGAUGAUCAGCCACACUGGAACUGAGACACGGUCCAGACUACUACGGGAGGCAGCAGUGGGGAAUAUUGGACAAUGGGCGCAAGCCUGAUCCAGCCAGACCGCGUGGGUGAAGAAGGCCUUCGGGUUGUAAAGCCCUUUUGUUGGGAAAGAAAAGCAGCAGGUUAAUACCCCGCUGUUCUGACGGUACCCAAAGAAUAAGCACCGGCCAACUUCGUG